rnacentral:rRNA from 1 species
UACGUAGGGUGCGAGCGUUGUCCGGAAUUAUUGGGCGUAAAGAGCGUGUAGGCGGCUUGGUAAGUCCGCUGUGAAAGUCCAGGGCUCAACCCUGGAAUGCCAGUGGAAACUGUCAAGCUAGAGUCCGGAAGAGGCGAGUGGAAUUCCUGGUGUAGCGGUGAAAUGCGCAGAUAUCAGGAAGAACACCAAUGGCGAAAGCAGCUCUCUGGGACGGUACUGACGCUGAGACGCGAAAGCGUGGGGAGCGAACAGG